rnacentral:sRNA from 1 species
GCCAGGCCUGGUAGCGCAUGCCUGUAAUCCCAGAGGCUCAGGAGGCUGAGGCAGGAAGAUUGAGAGUUCAAAGUCAGCCUCAGCAAAAGUGAGGUGCUAAGCAACUCAGUGAAACCCUGUCUCUA